GGCCCCUUGGUCAAGUGGUUAAGACACCGCCCUUUCACGGCGGUAACAGGGGUUCGAAUCCCCUAGGGGUCACCA
rnacentral:tRNA from 9 species